rnacentral:rRNA from 1 species
AGCGAACGCUGGCGGCAGGCCUAACACAUGCAAGUCGAACGAAGUCUUCGGACUUAGUGGCGGACGGGUGAGUAACACGUGGGAACGUGCCUUUAGGUUCGGAAUAACUCAGGGAAACUUGUGCUAAUACCGAAUGGGCCCUUCGGGGGAAAGAUUUAUCGCCUUUAGAGCGGCCCGCGUCUGAUUAGCUAGUUGGUGAGGUAAAGGCUCACCAAGGCUACGAUUAGUAGCUGGUCUGAGAGGAUGACCAGCCACAUUGGGACUGAGACACGGCCCAAACUCCUACGGGAGGCAGCAGUGGGGAAUCUUGCGCAAUGGGCGAAAGCCUGACGCAGCCAUGCCGCGUGGAUGAUGAAGGUCUUAGGAUUGUAAAAUCCUUUCACCGGUGAAGAUAAUGACUGUAGCCGGAGAAGAAGCCCCGGCUAACUUCGUGCCAGCCGCCGCGGUAACAC